ACGGAGGAUCCGAGCGUUAUCCGGAUUUACUGGGUUUAAAGGGUGCGUAGGCGGCUCCCUCAGUCAGCGGUGAAAUGUAUCGGCUCAACCGAUAACCUGCCGUUGAUACUGGGGAGCUUGAGUUGGGUUGAGGCAGGGGGUAUGUGCCGUGUAGGGGUGAAAUCCUAUAAUCUCGCGCGGACCACCUGUUGCGUAGGCAGCUAACUGGACCGAAACUGACGGUGAGGCACGAAAGCGAGGGGAUCAAACAG
rnacentral:rRNA from 1 species